CGCGAGCGCUGGAGGCCGCGCUGCGGCUGAAACGAUCCGUGAAUAAAUAAACGAUGGGAACGGCCUUUCAGUCGCGUCGGGGUUUCCAUCGCCACAGACGGCGCGUGUGCGGCACGCGGCGCCACACUCAACAUGGCGGGCGAGCGGCGCCGCGCACGCCGCGGACCCUCUCGGAGGCCCCCUGAUGGCCACACAGCGGGGUGCCCGAGGCGCUGCCUGCGCCACACACCAGAAGACAAAGGGGCGCGCCGCGACCGCACUCGGCUCAGCGCGGCCCCGGUGUGCGGGCGAGCGCGGGGCGGGGCGGGCUGAGGAUCCCCAUUUUUCCCGCCCGGUUCGGCCGGUGGUGGGGCGGAGCAGCGGGACGGGCGGCGCGAGGGCAGCCACGGCGGCCGGCCGAGCGCGGCGGGCGGCGAGCGGAGCUGCAUAAGAUGGCGGCGGCGGGAGCUGAGGCGGCGGCCGAGGAGGAGAAGCGGCUGCCGGAGGGAGACCCCGAGUCGGGCGGGGACUCGGACGAUGAGGGCGACUCGGACUCGUCUGGGGACGGCGAGGAUGAGGAGAAGGAGAACGAGGCCGAGAUCCAGCGGCUGGAGGAGCAGCUCUCCAUCAAUGCUUUUGACUACAACUGUCACUUGGAUCUGAUCAAGCUGCUCCGGCAGGAGGGAGAGCUGGUGAAGCUCCGCAGGGCUCGGCAGAAGAUGAGCGAGCUCUUCCCCCUCACUGAAGAAAUUUGGCUGGACUGGCUGAAGGAUGAGAUAAAAAUGGCUUCAGAGAUAUCUGAGAGAGAGAAGGUUUAUGAGCUGUUUGAAAGAGCUGUCAAAGAUUACAUCUGUCCUGAGAUUUGGCUGGAAUAUGCCCAGUAUUCCAUUGGAGGCAUUGGGCAGGAAGGAGGCAUCGAGAGGGUUCGCUCCAUCUUCGAGCGGGCCCUGACGGCCGUGGGGCUGCACGUCACCAAGGGCACGGCCCUGUGGGAAGCCUACAGGGAAUUUGAGAAUGCCAUCCUGGAAACAGCACAGCCAGCUCCUGGCAGCAUUCCAUCCCCGGAGCAGCAGCAGGUGCUGUGCAGCCAGCUCGAGAAGAUCCACACGCUCUUCCGGCGCCAGCUGGGGAUCCCACUGCUGGACAUGGAGGCUUCAUAUGCUGAAUAUGAAGAGUGGUCAGAAGAGCCCAUUCCAGAAACAACAAUAAAGAACUACAAAAAAGCUCUACAGCAGCUGGAGAAGUGUAAACCCUACGAGGAGGCACUGCUGGGUGCUGAAACCCCAAAGCUGGCAGAAUACCAAGCUUACAUUGAUUUUGAAAUGAAAGCAGGUGACCCAGCUCGGAUUCAGUUGAUCUAUGAGAGAGCUUUGGCUGAGAACUGCCUUGUCCCAGACCUCUGGGCACGCUACAACCAGUAUUUGGACAGGCAGCUGAAGGUGAAGGAAUUGGUUUUAUCUGCUCAUGACCGCGCUGUCAGGAACUGCCCCUGGACUGUUGGGCUGUGGAUUAGGUACCUGCUGGCCAUGGAGAGGCACAGAGUUGAGCACAGCAUCAUUUCUGAAAUGUUUGAAAAAGCUCUGAAUGCAGGUUUUAUUCAAGCAACAGACUAUGUAGAGAUCUGGCAGGCCUACCUGGAUUACCUGAGGAGAAGGGUGGAUUUUACACAAGACUCCAGUAAGGAGCUGGAGGAGCUGCGCUCUGCGUUUGCACGAGCUGUGGAGUACUUGAAACAAGAAGUAGAAGAAAGGUUCAGUGAAAGUGGAGAUCCAUCCUGCACCAUCAUGCAGAACUGGGCAAGAGUUGAGGCCCGCUUGUGUAACAACAUGCAGAAAGCCAGGGAGCUCUGGGACAACAUCAUGACUAAAGGAAAUGCCAAGUAUGCCAACAUGUGGCUGGAAUAUUACAACCUGGAAAGGGCCCAUGGGGACACCCAGCACUGCAGGAAGGCCCUGCACCGGGCAGUGCAGUGCACCAGCGACUACCCCGAGCACGUCUGCGAGGUGCUGCUCACCCUGGAGAGGAUAGAAGGAACACUGGAAGACUGGGAUGCAGCUGUUCAGAAAACUGAGAACAGAUUGGCUCGAGUGAAUGAACAAAGAGCAAAGGCUGCUGAGAAAGAAGCUGCUCUGGCAAAGCAGGAGGAGGAGAGAGCUGAGCAGAGAAAGCAAGCAAGGGCAGAGAAGAAAGCUUCCAAAAAAGCCAAAAAAACCAGGACUGGGGACAAGCGCAAAGCAGACGAGGAUGACGAGGGUGAAUGGGGACAAGAAGAAGAGCUGCCCAGCAAGAGGUACAGGGGAGAGGGUGAUGGAGUGCUCCCUGAAGAGGACAUGGAAGUGGAGACUGGGCUCUUGGGGAGCAGUGAGAAGCCAGAUGGCCCCGCAGCCCCAAAGGAAAAGGCGUCCACCAGCCGCAAGGACGCGCCCAAAGUUCUCCACGACAGCAGCAAGGAUAAAGUCACUGUGUUUGUCAGCAACCUCUCCUACACCAUGGCAGAGCCCGAGGCAAAGCUGAGGGAGCUUUUUGGGAGCUGUGGGGAGGUCGUGGAGAUCCGAGCAGUGUUCAACAACAAGGGCACCUUCCGGGGCUACUGCUACGUGCAGUUCAGGGAGGAGGAGGCUGCUCGGCAGGCCCUGGCCUUGGAUCGCACGGCCGUGGAGGGCAGGCCCAUGUUUGUGUCUCCUUGUGUUGACAAGAACAAGAAUCCUGACUUUAAGGUGUUCAGGUACAGCACUACCCUGGAGAAACAUAAACUCUUUAUAUCUGGUUUGCCAUUUUCCUGCACUAAGGAGGAGCUGGAGGAGGUGUGUAAAGCCCAUGGGAAUGUGAAGGACAUUCGACUGGUCACCAACAGAGCUGGAAAACCCAAGGGCCUGGCUUAUGUGGAAUAUGAGAAUGAAGCCCAGGCCUCUCAGGCUGUGCUGAAGAUGGAUGGGCUGACAGUGAAGGACCACGUCAUCAAGGUGAUGAUCAGCAACCCCCCGCUGCGGAAGCUUCCGGAGCGGCCCGAGCCCGGCAGGGCCUCCCUGCCCCUGGUACCACGGCACAUCUAUGGAGCGCGAGGGAAGGGAAGGACACAGCUCUCCAUGAUGCCCCGGGCUCUGCAGCGUCAGAGCAACCCCGUGGCCAAGGCUGAGAAUGGGAUGGUCCAGAACUCACCAGCAGCGUCCUCUGACCCCCCUGCAGAACCCAAAAAGAUGUCCAAUGCUGAUUUUGCCAAGAUGCUCCUGAAAAAGUGAGCAGGGAGUGUGCACUCAGCGGGUCUGGUCCAAUGUGAAAUGCCUUUCUGGAAGCCAUGUUGUGUCCUUAAGCUUUGCAAGGAGAGAACGCCCGUCCCAAUCCCGUGUAAAUACUGGACUGCUGCAUUCCUCGGGAUCAGUGGAGGAUGGCACAAAUCCAGAGCUCUAAAGUGCAUUAUUUAUACUCAGGUUGCACUACAAAAAUAACAUGCUUUGUAAGGACAGGACACCUUUCCUCCUGUAUUGUCUGCUUUCCCUGGCAGCAGUGCUCAGAGAACUCCCAGUCUCAUCCUGGUUUCUGCUUCUCUAAAACAUGUCCUAAGCUCCCUGUCAGGUAAGAGAGAGUUAAAAGGGAAGAAAACUAAGCCUAGGACAACCUGGCAGCUUUUGUCAAGAGGUUAAAUGCUCUAAACUGGGAUUUUAAAUUGAAGUUUUGUGAGCUUGGAGGUGGUGGGGUCAGUGAUGCUGUUACAGACCUGGCAGGUUUGGGGUAGGGAGAUCUGUGGGUACUUUUACCUUAAAAACCAAGGCAAAAGUGAUUCUUUGAACUGCUCAGCAGCUCCAGGCACUGCACUGCCCCUGCAGCACACAGAGGCCUCGAGUGAUUCUUGACACAUUUAUCAGAGCAAUGACAUGACCAGUGAUUAAUUUUGGAAGUUCCCUUACCCAGACUAAAAAAACUGAAGUUUUUGGCGAACUUCCUGUAUGCAUUCUUUCCAAACUGGCACAACUGGUGUCUCCUGGCUCUGCCUGAUUUUUUUCUGCCCACAGUUCUGCAGACAAGCUCCUUCCAACCCUCCACUGAAAUGUCUAAGGACAGUUGUUCUUUCCCAGGGUUCCUCUUGGCUGAGGUUUUCUGAGCCCUCCCUCAAGUAAGUCAGAGCUUUUCUCCUCUUGUUCCACUCCUAUCACCUGUAAUCCCAAACCAAACACUUCCCACUUGUACAAAACUCACCCCAGGAAAGGCAGCUGAAAGUAAACAUGCAAAGUGCCACAGAAACAGAAAUGGGAGGGGAAGAGAUGCCUUUGGGCUGGAGUUCAGCCUCCUUCCUGCUCAGUACCUGUGUGACUGACACCAAAGUGUGGUGGACACAGCUGGGAGAGUGCUGUUCCUUCAGGGAUGUGUUUUGGAGCUACAGGGAAGAGGCCACACAGAAUCAGCUCAGUUUAGACUUCGCUGAGGUCAGACAGUAGAGAGACUGCCUGGGUGCAGGGUUGUGAUUGAAGCAGCUCCUCAAAGCUUAAUUUUAAGGAGAAAUUCAAUUUCAGUUCAUUUUUUUGAGCCCUCUGACAUCUCUCCCCACCUCCUUCCAGUGCACAGCCACCAUCCCCAGUUCCGUUUGGCAUCAUGUAUAUAAAUAAAUUAUAUUAAUUUAAUCAAACUUAAAUAAACAAAACA